CAAUAGCGUAUAUUAAAGUUGUUGCAGUUAAAAAGCUCGUAGUUGGAUUUCUGGUGGGAGCGAUCGGUCUGGCGCUUAGCGCGAGUACUUGCAUCGUCUCCGGCCAUCCUUGGGGAGAGUCUGUCUGGCAUUAAGUUGUCGGGCAGAGGAUCCUCAUCGUUUACUGUGAACAAAUUAGAGUGUUCAAAGCAGGCUUAUGCCGUUGAAUAUAUUAGCAUGGAAUAAUAAGAUAGGACUUUGGUACUAUUUUGUUGGUUUGCGCACCAAAGUAAUGAUUAAUAGGGACAGUUGGGGGUAUUCGUAUUCCGUUGUCAGAGGUGAAAUUCUUGGAUUUACGGAAGACGAACUACUGCGAAAGCAUUUACCAAGGAUGUUUUCAUUAA
rnacentral:rRNA from 1 species